CAGAUGACUUCAUGUCGUAUGCCACCUAAAUGAAGGCUAUAUGCAGGCGUUUCCGAAACAGCUUUUAAUGAUGAAUGUCUGUUCCAAAAAGGUCAAGUGCUACAAGACCCGCUCUCUGUGAGACUGAUCGUAGUUACACCACCGUCGAUGGCUAGUUAUAUUUUCUUUUUUCACAUCUAUUGUCUGAUCGUUUGUGAACUUAACAAAUUCGAAAUGAUCCGAUUAUCGCUCGCUACCGUUACGUUUGAACUACAACAUCUAGUCAGCGGGCGUUCUUUUAUAGACACAAAUCAUUUAUCAUUAGCAAAAAUACGCCGGCGGCAAAUAAAAAAAAAACGAC